rnacentral:rRNA from 1 species
GCCUACGGGGGGCAGCAGUCGAGAAUCAUUCACAAGGGGGGAAACCCUGAUGGUGCGACGCCGCGUGGGGGAAUGAAGGUCUUCGGAUUGUAAACCCCUGUCAUGUGGGAGCAAAUUAAAAAGAUAAUACCACAAGAGGAAGAGACGGCUAACUCUGUGCCAGCAGCCGCGGUAAUACAGAGGUCUCAAGCGUUGUUCGGAAUCACUGGGCGUAAAGCGUGCGUGGGCUGUUUCGUAAGUCGUGUGUGAAAGGCGCGGGCUCAACCCGCGGACGGCACAUGAUACUGCGAGACUAGAGUAAUGGG